GAAACAGGUUUAAGUAAAACAUAUUCAGACAUUCUUUCGGGUAAGGUAUCUAAGUUUGUUUGGCAAGUUAAAACGCGACACGUCCACUGCAAGACGUGUAACGAAUCAUAAUUAUAAAAAAAAGGUAGCCAUGACGAGCAAUUCACCGUGCUCAGUACACCUGCUGUAACCAAAUCAAGGCUAGGAAAGGUGAAAGGGAGUCUAUGCUGAUCUAGGAUAGGCAGACACGCAUUGACUUUAUGUUUCCAUAAAUGAUUAGCAGAACAGAACAAGUAAAAAGAAACCAAGAGUUAGAAAUGAGAUUGUUCACACAUGAAUCGUAUUUCCUGUAUACCUUGGGUAUAUCCAUAACCUUCCAAAAGGUUCAAGUUUAAUUCCGGAUAUGUAUAUUACUGCCAGGAAUCAACCAUUUACAUUUACCUGUAUAUAGAUGCAUAAGAGAUUGAUGUCAAACUGGUAGCCUAUUUUGUUAGGAAUAAAAACAAGUGCAACCUUGGUCAAGUUAGAAUUAUAUUGCAUAAGAUUUAGGCCAUGUUUGAUUGGCUAAGCAAAAAAAAUGGAGAUAAUUGACGUUGAUACUCGAUAACAGAUCUAACAACUCCAACUGUACAAUACACGAACGGUCUAUUCACCUUCAAAAUCGAUACCUUUCACCAUUUGUUUUUGUUUGUUUUUUCUUUUUUACAUAAAUGCAAAGCACCUUCAAAUUGAUUAGAGUGGAAGACCAUUUAUUGUUCUCCUUUCGUUCCGCCAGAGAAACAAUACACGACAGACUAUGGCACGCUGCAAUCUAAUUAGAUUCCAUCUAAGAAGUUCAAGAAUUGCAAAAAAGGGCGUGAAGAAGAGAGCCAAGAAAAUAUCAGAUGUUGAACGUGGCCACGUACAUACACGACAUGCACACACACAAACCAAAUUUAAAAAAAUACGAUAAAAUACCGACGCGCUGAAUCCAUCAAUCAACGUAACAAAUCAAAUUUGAAAAAUAAAUUGGGAAAAAUGGAGACUCUUUUUCAGCGUCCUGCCGACAUCUUCUCAGAACUCUGCGUCUGUGUGUGUAUGCAAAAAUCAAGAGAAAAAAACAAAAGAAAAAAAAAUAAAAUCGGAGAUUGCACUGGUUCCAGUAAUAAAGGGUCGUACCGUCUCCCGCCGGAUGUCGACAAUUAGAAAACACUUUGGAACAAAAAAUAGAUAGGAAUCGAAUGAUUGGUGAGAGCGAGUGACACAAAAAAAACAAAAACACAACGCAAUAAAAA